AGUUAAAGUAGAUGAAGGUCUUUCAGGAGGCGCCAUUGCUGGAAUAGUAAUCGCAUGUCUAGUGGUUACAUGUUUUGCUAUUGGAGGAUACUUUAUCUACAAAAAGAGAGUCAACAACAGACAUCAGCCAAAUAAGACAGUGCAACUACAACAACCACAGAAAGAGGAACAUGUUUACGAGAACUCAUCGCCGGUAUAUGAGAACUUAUAAACUCAACAUUUCUGAAAGGAAUGUGACCUCUUUAUAGGACCAAAGGAUGCAUGUUUUGAAGAUGUGUUUCUGUAGAAAUAUGUCGUCCAGCCUUCAAAACCCACUCAGUAAAACAUACAGUUAAUCAAAAAAGGGAAAAACUAAAUGCUUUAAAGUCUCACUAAAAAGAAAACAGAGACACCAAUGCUUCAGAAUUUUUAUUUUUCUAUUUUAGCUUUACGUUAAACAGAACUUUUAAUAAGUGUCAAUGCAAUGUAAUAAAAAAAUAACAGGAUUAUAUACUUUUUGUUUUUUAAAGAGUUAAAUCUUAAAUGAAGAGACAUACAUAAACCUCAAGCUGCUUUUAUUUGUUUUAAGGGACAGAAGCGUCUGAGCUGUGUUUCACCUGAUUUAUUAUUUUUGUAUAGAGAUGUCAUAAACAUUUGAAGACGCUAGCUUCUUACGAUCAAAUAGAUUUGAAAUACAUUGAUCUGUUAUGAUUAUAUAGUGGUGAAUGUGUUUGAAUUUACUUCCACUGUAUGGCAAUAUAAAAAUAAGUGACCAACAUUG